rnacentral:rRNA from 1 species
UACAGAGGGUGCGAGCGUUGUCCGGAAUCACUGGGCGUAAAGGGCGCGUAGGCGGCUUGAUAAGGUUGCGGUGAAAGCCCGGGGCUCAACCCCGGGUCGGCCGUGGCAACUGUCGAGCUGGAGCACUGUAGAGGCAGGUGGAAUUCCGGGUGUAGCGGUGGAAUGCGUAGAGAUCCGGAAGAACACCGGUGGCGAAGGCGGCCUGCUGGGCAGUGGCUGACGCUGAGACGCGAAAGCGUGGGGAGCAAACAGG